CAGUGAGGGGCCGGUGAGGGAGCGCGCUGGAUCGUGCGGCAUCGUGAGGCGACCCCGCCGUGAGGGGCGGGCGGUGGAUAUGACGCGCGGGCGCGCGGGGCAUUGUGGGAGCUCCGCCAGCCCGUUCAGCCGAUCCCGGUGGCCCCGCGGGCGGAGCGGAGCAGCGGGAGCGGCAGCGGGGACGGGAGCGGGGCCGCCGCCGGCCGACCGGAGACAUCUUGCCCGCGCCAGUGCUGUUUCAGACCUGAUACAGACAAGAUGUCCAGCAGGGGUGGAAAGAAGAAGUCAACCAAGACUUCCCGCUCCGCGAAGGCUGGGGUCAUAUUCCCUGUUGGAAGAAUGCUCCGCUACAUUAAGAAAGGCCACCCGAAGUACAGAAUUGGUGUUGGUGCUCCUGUGUACAUGGCUGCUGUACUGGAAUAUCUAACUGCGGAAAUUCUGGAAUUGGCUGGAAAUGCUGCAAGGGACAACAAGAAGGGUCGAGUCACUCCUAGACACAUCCUGUUGGCUGUAGCAAACGAUGAAGAAUUAAAUCAGCUAUUGAAAGGGGUCACCAUAGCCAGUGGUGGAGUGUUACCCAACAUUCACCCAGAGCUGUUGGCAAAGAAGCGGGGAUCAAAAGGAAAACUGGAAGCCAUCAUCACUCCACCCCCAGCAAAGAAGGCAAAGUCUCCAUCACAGAAAAAAACUGUAUCAAAGAAAACAGGUGGCAAGAAAGGAGCAAGGAAAUCCAAGAAGAAGCAGGGAGAAGUGAGCAAAUCAGCCAGUGCUGACAGUACAACAGAGGGAACUCCUGCAGAUGGUUUCACAGUCUUGUCCACCAAAAGCCUGUUUCUUGGCCAGAAGUUGCAAGUUGUACAGGCUGACAUUGCCACGAUCGACAGUGAUGCUGUCGUUCACCCGACAAACUCUGACUUCUACACCGGUGGUGAAGUGGCUCAACAAGCUGGGCAGUUACCAAGUAAAGCAGCCCGCUGCACUCACGAGACUGUUUCAUUCCUGGGGCCACCUGUUGGGGUCAGGGACCAAGAUCAGGGAGCACUUUGGAAAAGAAAGGUGGCAAGGAGUUUGUGGAAGCCGUCAUUGAGCUCCGCAAAAAGAACGGGCCGUUGGACAUAGCCGGAGCUGUUGUCAGUGCUGGCCAUGGACUGCCUGCAAAAUUUGUGAUCCACUGUAAUAGCCCAGGUUGGGGCUCAGACAAAUGUGAGGAGCUGCUGGAAAAGACAGUGAAGAACUGCCUGGCUCUGGCUGAUGAAAAGAAGCUGAAAUCAAUUGCAUUUCCUUCCAUUGGCAGUGGCAGAAAUGGCUUCCCAAAGCAAACAGCUGCUCAGCUGAUCCUGAAAGCCAUCUCCAGCUAUUUUGUGUCUACAAUGUCCUCUUCGAUCAAGACGGUGUACUUCGUGCUCUUCGACAGCGAGAGUAUAGGGAUAUACGUGCAGGAAAUGGCCAAGCUAGAUGCCAACUAAGCCUAGAAAGCUACAGUACCAGCCCCCUCUUCCACCCAUCAGCAUCCCCAAAUCCUUAAAUCAUUGUGAGGCAGAGCAUCCCUUAUUUUAAAUUUUGCUCAUCUAGGAAAAUAAAGGUGGGGGUUUUGUUGUUUUGUUUUGGAUUUUUUUUGUUUGUUUUGUUUUUCCUCUCUAAACCGUUUUAUGUUGGCACUGAUAGUUGGCAUUACUGCUGUUAAUGCACUGUUAUACCAGGCAUUGUCUGAAGUUAGUGUAAUCUAGAAGAUUUUAUAGUUUUAUUUUAAUGAAGUAUGGAUUGAAGCAGGAAGCUGUUAGGAGUAUGUAGUCUUUUACUUGUGAAAGAAACAGGCCAACCCUAUUUUGUAACUGUGUUGUGGUGCUUUAUCAAUACAUCAAGUGGCGUUCCUUUCAUUUUUUAAAAGAACAGAUGCUAUAAACCUAAUUUGUGUUUGUUUAUUGUCUUAAUGAUUCUGGAAGAAAAAAAAUACAGAAACCCUGUUGUCCUUAAUUAUAUUUACAAUUUUGAAACUGUGUGAAUUGAUUUAGUAAAAUGUUUGAACUGUU